AGAGUUCGAUUCUGACUUAGGAUGAACAAUGGUGAUAUGCUUAACACAUACAAGUCGGAUGGAAAGUAGUAUUUACAGUGGCGGACGAGUGAGUAACGUGUAAGAAUAUGCCCUUAGAAGGGGAACAACAGUUGAAAAUGAUUGCUAAUAUCCUAUAGGCUGAAGAGCAAAAGAAGGAAUACACCCGAGAAGGGACUUGCGUCUGAUUAGCAAGUUGGUGAAGCAAUAGCUUACCAAGGCAAUGAUUAGUAGUUAGUCCAAGAGGAUGAUUAGCAACACUGGGACUAAGACACAAUCCAGACUCCUACAGGAGACAGCAGUAGAGAAUUUUUGCAAUGGGCAAAAGCCUGACAGAGCAAUAUUGUGUGUAGGUAGAAGGCCUACGGGUCGUGAACUUCUUUUCUUGGAAAAGAAGCAAUGACAAUAUCUGGGAAAUAAGCAUCAGCUAAAUAUGUGUUAGCAGCCGUAGUGAUACAGAGGAUGCAAGCGUUAUCCAGAAUGGUUGGGCGUAAAGUGUUUGUAGGUGGCUUUUUAAGUUCGCCAUCAAAUCCCAAGGCUCAACCCUGGACAGGUGAUGGAAAUUGCCAAGCUAGAGUGUAGUAGGGGCAGAGAGAAUUUCCGGUGGAGCGGUAAAAUGCGUAGAGAUUUGAAAGAACACCAAUGGCAAAAGCACACCAACGGUCAACACUGACACUGAAAGAGGAAAACUAGGGGAGUGAAUGGGAUUGGAUAUUAUAGUAGUCUUAGCCGUAAACGAUGGAUAUUGGGCAUUGUACGUAUCGACUCGUGCAAUGUUGUAGCUAAUGUGUUAAGUAUCCUGCCUGGGGAGUACGUUCACAAGAAUGAAACUCAAAGAAAUUGACGAGAGCCUACACAAGCGGUGGAGCAUAUGGUUUAAUUUGAUAUAAAGCGAAGAACCUUACCAGCGCUGGACAUACCGUGAAUCCUCUUGAGAGAGAAGGGUGCCUUUAGGAAUGCGGAAACAGGUGGCGUAUGGCCGUGGAUAGCUCAUGCCUUAAGGUGUUUAGUUAAGUCUCAGAACGAGUGCAAACCUUAGUUAUCAACUACGUGUUGCAUUUUUCAAUGCUUGCUGAGAUUUUAUUAUCGUGUUGUACCGACUAGAAAUUUCAAUUAGUCCAAUGGGUUCAUAAUAUAUAUAUUUUUUUAAUAUGCUUGAGUGAUUUUGAUGAGUUGCAAAACUCACCACUUUUUCCUUAUUAAAUUCCAUAAUUUUGUUAUGAUUUUGAUAUAAAUAAUUAAUUUUUACUUGGAAUUUGAGUUUGGACAUGUUUU
rnacentral:rRNA from 1 species